UCUCCAUAUUGAAGGUGACGCUAGCGCUC
rnacentral:sRNA from 1 species